rnacentral:rRNA from 1 species
AUCUCUGCAAUAGGCGAAAGCUUGACAGGGUUACUCUGAGUGAUUCCCGCUAAGGGGAUCUUUCGGCACCUUUAAAAAUGGUGCAGAAUAAGGGGUGGGCAAGUCUGGUGUCAGCCGCCGCGGUAAUACCAGCACCCCGAGUGGUCGGGACGAUUAUUGGGCCUAAAGCAUCCGUAGCCGGUACUGCAAGUCUUCCGUUAAAUCCACCUGCUUAACAGUUGGGCUGCGGGGGAUACUACAGCGCUAGGAGGCGGGAGAGGCAAGCGGUACUCAAUGGGUAGGGGUAAAAUCCGCUGAUCCAUUGAAGACCACCAGUGGCGAAGGCGGCUUGCCAGAACGCGCUCGACGGUGAGGGAUGAAAGCUGGGGGAGCAAACCGGAUUAGAUACCCGGGUAGUCCCAGCUGUAAACGAUGCAGACUCGGUGAUGGGUUGGCCUUGUGCCAACCCAGUGCCGCAGGGAAGCCGUUAAGUCUGCCGCCUGGGGAGUACGGUCGCAAGACUGAAACUUAA